GGGUCAUGGAUAACUAGCUAUUCCCACCUCCAACCAGAACUGUUUCUUUUCCUUGGGAAUGGUUUCCAGUUUCAAGGAAGGUAAAGAAUAAGAUAUAGACAUCUGUGGAGGCCUCCAAUAGUUAAUCCUGGAACUAUCUGGAUGCUGGGACAUGUAGUCAUCUGACUACAGUGGAAUCUUUGGACUCUACUAAGAACCCUUUGAAGGAAAAAUAUAUGAGACUUUAGUAUCUAAGGGCCAGAUGAAGACCUAGAUAGUGGCAAUGAGGACCCCAGGGCAAAACCUAGAGAUGCAUAUGUCGAGCAGAGUUUGAACAUAACAGAUGUGUUGACUUCAGAUUUGGAGCCAGGUUCUGAGAUGAGCCCCAGGCAGCUUUGAGAAGGUGCUCAUUAGGAGUGAAGCUGGGAUCCUGGGCUGGCAACUCUGGCUUACACUGCGCUCAUAAAAGUGAGCCAUCCUGGAAGUGGAUUCUCCAGCCUACGUCUAGCCAUACCAGUUGAUACUCUCUCUAUGGAGCAGAGAGGAGCUAUCUCACUCAAGCCCUCUGGAAUUGCAGAUCAGCAAUCAAAGUAAUUAACUGUUUUUGGUUUGUGCCACUAACUCUUGAGGUCGUUGCCUACACAACUAUAGAUAAUCAGAAGAGAAAUCAUUACCUCAUAAAACUUUCUGUAAACGUAAUGCAAUUCAGUGAUAUACAGCAUGCCUUUUGUUACUUAGAAUAUUUUUUCCAUCUUUGUGGCUGAGGUAUAACUAAAAUUAGUUGAAAUUUUUCUUUUGAAUGAAAUUUUCUAUACAUAUUUUAUAUACUUGAAAUACUUGUCCAUUAUUUGAUGUAAGGAUGCUGAACAUUGGCAAGGAUAUGUAAGAUUCUUCCUCUGGGAAAUGUGGGCAAUAUAAAUAUAACUAAGAUCUCUUAAGGAAUAAAUUGCCUUGUAAGAUAUAUCACAUGAUACAAAAUAUCUAUAUCUAUUUUAAAGAGAAUUACUUAUGAGACUGAUGAGACUACACAGCAAAGGUCACACCUUGUUUGUUGGAAUUUUGCCUGAAGUUAUUUACUAUUAUGGUAAAGUUAAGAGGCUGAACUGAAAGGGAUAUGAACUUUUUGGAAAUCUUAUUCUUUUCAUCAAAGUUGCAUUAUUACAUACUGAUGGAAUACUUCAAGCUGAAUAAAGUGUCUUAACACUCUGCAAUCCAGAGUAUUUGCCACUAGUAAAAAUUACUCUGGACACUUACCUAGGUGACUUCAACUAACAGAGAGAGGUAGAGACAGUUAGACUGUAACCAGUGCUAAACUAGUUACCUACAUACAGAUAUUUAAAAAUGAUUUUAUCAUAAAAAUGAUGCUGAAUUCUAUAGUUUUUAUACACAUUAUUUUAGAAAGUUAACAUGCACAAUCAAACAUAUUGCUGUUUUUACCUAUUAUGUAUACACAUACACCUCAAUGCUGAAUCUUUCCAAAUAUUCAAGUGGGCUUUUAGCUUGAAGAAUUGUAAAUCUGCUUCUCUACUUAGAAGCUAUAAGAAUCUGGAAUCAAAGAACAUUCUAGACAAAAAUGUAUCAUAAGAAGUCUUAAAUUGUAGCAAACAAUUUAUGUUAAACAUACCUGUAUUAGAACUUCGUAUUAAAACAGAAUUGCCCGUGGCUUUAAUUAAAUACAAUUUGAUAUAUAAGUGAGCUACUGUAAAUUCUCUACCUCACUUUCAGAUUUUUAUAUUCCUUGGAAUAAAAUGGAGCAUAAGAAUUUUCUCCAAUAACUUAUUUUCUUCAAUAGAACUUUGGAGGACAUUUGUGGCUACUGAGUAUUUCUUUUGAAGGACAUUUCUUUUGAAGAACAUGUAUUUUAAGAAGCUUACAAAUGUGAAUUUUCCCCAUAUUGAACAUACUUUUUACUUAAAUAUCGUCAUAUUGUUCCUUUUUGUUUCUAGUCCUUUCUAUCUUCCAUCACUAAUUGUGGACCUAACCGAUGCAUUGUUUCUGUUUUCCGUUUUUCAUUUGCUUUUUAAACCUAUUUUCAGAAAAAUCUACUUAAAAACAAUAGAAAAUAAAUGAAAGCCCUGUUUUCAGUUUACAGCUGGGAUUUUGCACAGCAUGUAAUACUAACUGCAUCUGUGCAGAAAUACUACCAUAUGGGCGGGAGGGGAAUCAUUUAAUUUAGUUCAUAUGCAAGAAGUAAGUGAAGAGUUGACUAUAUUUUAAACCUCACCAAAGCUAAGCAACAGCAGAAUUAGGAACAGAAUCCAAAAAGUUUCAUAAUCAGUCUUAUGUUCUUUCUAGUAAACUACACCAUCUUUUAAGGCUGUUCACUUGUACAGUGCGAAUAAUAUAUCUUCUUACUUUGAAAUGUAUUUUUAAGAUCAGUGUAAAUAAUAUAUUUUCAUUUACUAUUUAUAUCUUUCAAUUUUUUGUCAAAAUAUCAUAAAUAUGUUAUUUCAGAGAAAAUAAAACAUGUAUAAUACUUGAAAAUAACAAUCAUUUCUGGAAAAAAAUCUACAUGUAUUGCAUGAAUAAGGACACAAUUUUAAUCUAAGUAAUAUAACUUAACUGAUGCAAGCCCAUAGAGAUUAAAGACAGUUUAUUACAGUUGAUCCUGACUAAUGGGACAGUGGUCUUUCAGAGAUAAAGGGGAGACAGGAUUGAACAUGAUAAGGAUAGCUCAAGAAUAGAGAACAUAAACCUAAAAAGGAAAUUUACAUUUAUUAUUUUCAAUAAUGAGGUCAUGAAAAUAUUCCAUUUGCUUUAUAGGAAAAAUGCUCACACAAAUUAUUUCAGGGGAGCUUUUAGUGAAUAAGCCUUCAAUUUCCUCAUCUGUAAUAUGGGAAUAAUAAUGUCUAUGAGGUGGAAUCACUGAGAAUAUUAGUAUGGACGUACGUUCUGUGUCUUCUUGGGGAAGAAACUUUUAGGAAGAUUCACUACUCUUUUUAAAAAAUGUUAUUUACUGCUACAGAAAAAUGUCUCCUCUGUAAAGUCUUAUUUAAUUAUGGGAGAACCAUUAAAACCAUGAUCUCAUAGUGAAUUGUGUAAAAAUAAAAUAAUGAAGACUUACAUCUAUUACAAAUAGGAGAGUAUUUCUUUUAUACAAAAAUAUAGCCCAUUAAUAAAUCACCAAUGUAGAUGUUACACAUGGUACUAUCUACAGAUUAGAAGAGGUCUCUCAAUCAGACUAAACUGAAACAACUAUUAGGAUUAAUCAACAUUUUUCAUGGCCUUGAUGGUGAUACUUGUUGUAAUUUCUGAUUUAAUUUAAAUGAAUAGUUUGAUAAACUAAUGAAAACUGCUUGUAAAAGAGUAAUAUAUUCUAUUAAAGUUAAAUGCAUAGUUUACUCUUAAAAAGUGAGUCAUUAAUAAAAUGCUGCCAUACAAGAUGCAGAUAAGGCAACCGUAAAAGCAAUAAAAGUAAAGUUUACUGAAUAACCAGAUUUUAAAGAAAUCCAUGCUUCUGGUUAUUUCAUAUUUUUAUUUGGUAUUUUGUUCAACCUUUUUAGUCAACGAGUCAGUAGCAUGACUAUAUUUAACAAUAAUCAAUUGUACAUUUCAGAAUAGCUAAAGGAGAAUAAUUUGAAUGUUUCUAGCGUAAAGAAAAGAUAAAUAUUUAAGGUGACGGAUAUCUCAAUUAUCCUGAUUUGAUUAUAUGCAUUUUUCAAAUUAUCACAGGUACCCCACAAAUAUGUACAUCCAUUAUGUUUCCAUCAAUCAAACCUCUUCAAAAAUAUAUGCAUGAUUUAUUAAAGAAAGAUUCCGUAGGCUUUGAAC
rnacentral:lncRNA from 1 species